AUAGCCUAACGGCUGAACCAGCAACUUGGAGGAAUGUAUAGUAAAGCUAAAUGUAUUUUUUUAUAAUAAUACAUAUUCGAUUUAUUCGUAUAAAGUUCUAGAUAGAAUUAUGAUAAUGACAUUGUCUAUCUAUAAGUCUUGGCCAAAUUACGUGCCAGCAGCCGCGGUAAGACGUAAAAGACUAGUGUUAUUCAUCUUUAAUAGGUUUAAAGCGUACCUAGACGGUAAAUCAAGCCUUAAGGGGACUAAUUUAACUAGAGUUAGAUGUAAGGGUGCAUAAACGUACUGUUGAGUGUAGAGAUGAAAUUCUUUUAUACCAGAUUAUUGGCACGGGUUAAGGCGAAAGCAUCACCUUAUGUAAUAACUGACGUUGAGGGACGAAGGCUUUGUGUCGCUAACAGGAUUAGAUACCCUAGUAGUCUAAGCAGAAAAUGAUGAGUGUCAUAGGUUAAAUAUUAUUUGGUCUAUAAAUGAAAGUGUAAGCACUCCACCUCAAGAGUAAUUUGGCAACAUUGGAAUUGAAAUCAUUAGACCGUUUCUGAAACCAGUAGUGAAGUAUGUUGUUUAAUUAGAUAAUACACAAAGAACCUUACCACAAUUUGAAUAUUUUACAAGUGUUGCACGGCUGUCUUCAGUUAAUGUCGUGAGAUUAUGGUUAGUUCCAUUAAAUUAACGUAAACCCUUACUUUAUUUUAUAUAAUAUAAAGUUGUUCGCCGCUAGAUUGGUUAGAUAAAAGGACUAAGA
rnacentral:rRNA from 1 species